GUUCUUAUUUCCGCUGCACAGAUACUAAAAUUGGAGCAAAACAGAGAAGAUGGGCACAGCCUUGGCACAAGGCUGGCAUGCAAAUUUGUGAAGCAUCCCAUAUCUUA